GAUGAACGCUGGCGGCGUGCCUAAUACAUGCAAGUCGAGCGAAUGACGAGGAGCUUGCUCCUCUGAUUUAGCGGCGGACGGGUGAGUAACACGUGGGUAACCUGCCUGUAAGACGGGGAUAACUCCGGGAAACCGGAGCUAAUACCGGAUGAUAACGAGAAGCGCCUGCUUCUUUUUUGAAAGUCGGUUUCGGCUGACGCUUACAGAUGGGCCCGCGGCGGAUUAGCGAGUUGGUGAGGUAACGGCUCACCAAGGCGACGAUGCGUAGCCGACCUGAGAGGGUGAUCGGCCACACUGGGACUGAGACACGGCCCAGACUCCUACGGGAGGCAGCAGUAGGGAAUCUUCGGCAAUGGACGAAAGUCUGACCGAGCAACGCCGCGUGAGCGAUGAAGGCCUUCGGGUCGUAAAGCUCUGUUGUCAGAGAAGAACAAGUACCGGAGUAACUGCCGGUACCUUGACGGUACCUGACCAGAAAGCCACGGCUAACUACGUGCCAGCAGCCGCCGUAAUAC
rnacentral:rRNA from 1 species